GAGUGUAUAAAAACUUUUGUCUUUACUGUACCAAGCUUGUUUAAAUUCGCAUGCAUGUUAAGUCUGUGCGGUUUCGAGUUCUUUAGUUUCUGUCCAGUGAAGUGGAAAUAUACACACUAACAUUGUGCUGUCUUGCACGAAAAUACUGUAAAAUACAGGCAAACAAGGUUUGAAAAUAUUUUGCAAACUGAACAUCAAGAUCGGAAAUAAAAGUUUGUCCCAGGAACCAACAAAUGAAGCAGUAGUCUUUCAGGAAGGUCACAGAUAGAUAUAUACCGCUUUGAAUAUAAGAACAUAUAUAUAGCCAAAUUGACCAACAAUAACGAAAUCCAAAUUAGCCUACAAAACAAAACAACAAAACGCAAAGCACCCAAACAAAACCAUCAAUAAUACGUAGUACCGACGAAACAAGCCUUAUAAAGCCUUUUCAUGUAUUCAAUUGUAUAUGGAUAUAAUGAUAUAUAAAUCCCAGCGUAAGGAUAACUCAAAGUCUACGAAGC